rnacentral:rRNA from 1 species
UACGAGGGGGGCAAGCGUUGUUCGGAAUUAUUGGGCGUAAAGGGUGCGUAGGCGGUUUGGUAAGUCUUAUGUGAAAUCUACAGGCUCAACUUGUAGUCUGCAUGAGAAACUGCCGGGCUUGAGUAUGGGAGAGGUGAGUGGAAUUCCUGGUGUAGCGGUGAAAUGCGUAGAUAUCAGGAGGAACACCUGUGGCGAAAGCGGCUCACUGGACCAUAACUGACGCUGAGACACGAAAGCGUGGGUAGCAAACAGG